rnacentral:rRNA from 1 species
UACGAAGGGGGCGAGCGUUGUUCGGAAUUAUUGGGCGUAAAGGGUGCGUAGGCGGGUCUUUAAGGCAGGGGUGAAAUCCUGGAGCUCAACUCCAGAACUGCCUUUGAUACUGAAGAUCUUGAGUUCGGGAGAGGUGAGUGGAACUGCGAGUGUAGAGGUGAAAUUCGUAGAUAUUCGCAAGAACACCAGUGGCGAAGGCGGCUCACUGGACCGGUACUGACGCUGAGGUGCGAAAGCGUGGGGAGCAAACAGG